rnacentral:rRNA from 1 species
GACUCCGUGGCUACAGAACGACGCUGGCGGCAUGCCUAACACAUGCAAGUCGAACGAGACCUUCGGGUCUAGUGGCGCACGGGUGCGUAACGCGUGGGAACCUGCCUUUAGGUUCGGAAUAACUCAGAGAAAUUUGAGCUAAUACCGGAUAAUGUCUUCGGACCAAAGAUUUAUCGCCCUGAGAUAAGCCCGCGUAGGAUUAGCUAGUUGGUGGGGUAAAGGCUCACCAAGGCGACGAUCCUUAGCUGGUCUGAGAGGAUGAUCAGCCACACUGGGACUGAGACACGGCCCAGACUCCUACGGGAGGCAGCAGUGGGGAAUAUUGGACAAUGGGCGAAAGCCUGAUCCAGCAAUGCCGCGUGAGUGAUGAAGGCCUUCGGGUUGUAAAGCUCUUUUACUCGGGACGAUAAUGACGGUACCGAGAGAAUAAGCCCCGGCUAACUCCGUG